UAUUACUGCAAAGAAAUAAAUAAUUAAGCAUAAAUAUUUUACCUUUUGCAUAAUGGUUUAAUAAUAUUAUUAAAAAUUUCUAACCCGAAGUUAGAAGAUCUAAUUUUAUUACUAUAUUAGAAAUAAUUAUAUAAUGUUUCAAAAUUAUAUUUAUAGCUAAAAUUAGGGGUGAAAGGCCUGUCAAUUCUAAAGAUAUCUGGAAUAAUUUUAAAUGUAUUUAGUACAAAAUUAAGUUUGAGUAAAAAAAUGUUAAGAUUUUUUUAUUUUAGAAUAGUCAUUUAUAUAUAUAUAUGUGAAUUAAUCUUCUUACAUUAAAAUACUAAAAUAAUUUAUUAUUAUAUGUAUCUAACUAUUAAAAUUAUAUUUGUAAUAAUUUUUAAUAAGAUUAACUAUGUUAAAAUUAGUAUAAUAUCUUUAUUUUAUUAAGGAACUCGGCAAAAUUACUAUUCAUCUGUUUAUCAAAAACAUAGUCUUAUGUAUAAAUAUAAGGUGAAACCUGCCCACUGAUAAAAUUUAAUGGCCGCAGUACCUUGACUGUGCUAAGGUAGCAUAAUAAAUUGACUCUUAAUUGGGGCCUAGAAUGAAUGGAUUCAUGAAUAAUUUCUGUCUCAAAUAAAUUUAUUUUAAUUUACUUAAAAGGUGAAAAUUCCUUUAAUAUAUAAAUUAGACGAGAAGACCCUAGGAGUUUUAAAUUUUGUUGGGGCGACAAUAUAGCAUAUAACCUAUACAAUUUAUAAAGAUAUAACGAAUAAUAUUAAUAAUGAUUAAACUACCCUAGGGAUAACAGCAUAAUUUUAUAUAAAGUUUGUGACCUCGAUGUUGGACUAGGAACUUUUAAUAUUAACAAUGUUAAUUGAUAGUUCUGUUCGA
rnacentral:rRNA from 1 species